rnacentral:rRNA from 1 species
AGAGUUUGAUCCUGGCUCAGAUUGAACGCUGGCGGCAGGCCUAACACAUGCAAGUCGAGCGGCAGCACAGAGGAACUUGUUCCUUGGGUGGCGAGCGGCGGACGGGUGAGUAAUGCCUGGGAAAUUGCCCGGUAGAGGGGGAUAACCAUUGGAAACGAUGGCUAAUACCGCAUAACCUCGCAAGAGCAAAGCAGGGGACCUUCGGGCCUUGCGCUACCGGAUAUGCCCAGGUGGGAUUAGCUAGUUGGUGAGGUAAGGGCUCACCAAGGCGACGAUCCCUAGCUGGUCUGAGAGGAUGAUCAGCCACACUGGAACUGAGACACGGUCCAGACUCCUACGGGAGGCAGCAGUGGGGAAUAUUGCACAAUGGGCGCAAGCCUGAUGCAGCCAUGCCGCGUGUAUGAAGAAGGCCUUCGGGUUGUAAAGUACUUUCAGUAGGGAGGAAGGUGGUUAAGUUAAUACCUUAAUCAUUUGACGUACCUACAGA